rnacentral:rRNA from 1 species
GACGAACGCUGGCGGCGUGCUUAACACAUGCAAGUCGAACGGAAAGGCCCUGCUUUUGUGGGGUGCUCGAGUGGCGAACGGGUGAGUAACACGUGAGUAACCUGCCCUUGACUUUGGGAUAACUUCAGGAAACUGGGGCUAAUACCGGAUAGGAGCUCCUGCUGCAUGGUGGGGGUUGGAAAGUUUCGGCGGUUGGGGAUGGACUCGCGGCUUAUCAGCUUGUUGGUGGGGUAGUGGCUUACCAAGGCUUUGACGGGUAGCCGGCAUGGGAGGGUGACCGGCGACAUUGGGACUGAAAUACGGCCCAGACUCCUACGGGAGGCAGCAGUGGGGAAUGUUGCACAAUGGGCGGAAGCCUGAUGCAGCAACGCCGCGUGCGGGAUGACGGCCUUCGGGUUGUAAACCGCUUUCGCCUGUGACGAAGCGUGAGUGACGGUAAUGGGUAAAGAAGCACCGGCUAACUACGUG